rnacentral:rRNA from 1 species
UACGUAGGGUGCGAGCGUUGUUCGGAAUUACUGGGCGUAAAGCGCACGUAGGCGGAUCAGCAAGUUAGGGGUGAAAUCCCGGGGCUCAACCCCGGAACUGCCUUUAAAACUGUUGGUCUGGAGGUCGAGAGAGGUGAGUGGAAUUCCGAGUGUAGAGGUGAAAUUCGUAGAUAUUCGGAGGAACACCAGUGGCGAAGGCGGCUCACUGGCUCGAUACUGACGCUGAGGUGCGAAAGCGUGGGGAGCAAACAGG